AGCGGAAAGAACAGAACUGGGAGCGGCUCU
rnacentral:piRNA from 1 species